GUUUGCUUGGCCUUGUCUUCACCAAGAUAGGCUUUCAGUUUCUUUUGGUAGUCCUUGUAGUACUCUAGUUCCUUCCACAGUGGUAUAACAGACUGCAAUGAAAGCAUGUAGAUGGUACAAAUGGAUUAGGUACAUGGUGUUUAAAGAUAUGUUUGUAAUAAGCAAUAAUGGGCUUGAAAACAAAGGGCACGAGGUUAUAAAAGAAUCAUAAUUUAGUA